CAAAUUCCAGAUGAACCACCGUCCCAGUCGCAGUAGCGAGGCAAGGUAAGGAAUGUGUAAUGCAAACGCUCAGUAAUGCUGGACCUGGAUGAGUUGAGAAACAAACCAUUUUCUCUAAACCUUACUG
rnacentral:sRNA from 1 species